rnacentral:rRNA from 1 species
CUGGAGACGAAGAAACAAAUGCGCAACACCACUGGCUGCUCGUCUAGGUAGGGGAAGAGCGAGCUAGGUGAGGUGUGAGGGAGCCGUAGCAGAGCGACACGCGGACAGCGGCCGCAAGCUCGAAGGAGCGGCCCGAUGAGGCGCCGCGUGCCGGAGAGGUAGGGCGAUCCCAAGUGUAGGUGCUGCGCGCGUCUCUUCCCUUACGCUAAGAUGACAAGUGACAGUGACGCGAACUAGGUAUGGCGGUUGUCUCGCUUGGUUGAGACUCAGACUCGACGAUGAUCGGUUCUUUCUAGGGGCAUCCGUGCCGGCUAGACAUCGACGCAAGCCACAUUGUUACGAAGAAACUGAAUGAACCUAAUUAAGAGAAAGGCCCCUUAGAUAGCCAGCACUAAACUGGAGGUUCCCACAUCUCACAUCUAACUUCUGCGUUUAGAGCAACGAAUAAUGACAGUCACGUGAUCCGCCGGACUGGAGGUGUGUCUCAACUGUCUCGAUCGUGUCCCAGUACCUCCGUCGAGAGCAGUCACACCGUUGUCCCCAUGACUUUGGGCAGGACCCCUUCGACUGGCGGGACGAACCGCUACUCAUGUUCGCAAAGUGCUGUCAAGCGUUCCUCUAGUUCAGAGAGUGAGUACUCGAUCGACGGUACCUCCGAAAAGAGGAGUUCUACAGGCUCCUACUCCUAGGCCUACGCGUCCUAUUCCGUACCUACUUACUCCAGGCCCUCGACAGGAUGCUGUACCUCCUACGGUAGCUGCUAAAGUACGUUUUACAGCUACUGUUUCUACGAUUCGGUCUGCCGAAGUACCUAUUCUAGUUCUCGAGUGACCCCUUCUACUUCCGAUCUGCAGCGUAACCGUCGCUCUAGGUGCUAAACUUCUUCGUUUAGUAACUCCACCCACUCUCCUUACUUUCCAUGUUCUCGGCGUGCCGGAAGAGGUUGUGGUUUUUACGUUGGCAACUGGGAUCUCGAGAAAAAUACAAACUCGUACGGAGUUUCGAACAACCUUAACUACUUGGGUUCCGACUCUAUUAGUUAGACAACUGGCUUCCCCUACCUACACGCAAUUGCGUUCUCGUUGACUUUUACCAGAGGUAGCAACCUAGACCUCCUUACCCGUUCUGUUGGGAACGUUCGGUUCACAUAGUUGUCGAGUUUCGUUUUAAACUCACAUUUCGAAAGCAUAGUCACAGUGCCUUAGGUCUGUACUACUUAUAAGAUUCUUGGUAAGAAUCACUUCAAUCGACGGUUUUAAUACGAGUGUGACUUCGUCCCUCGUAUGUUGUCGACUAUUCGUUCUAGUUGCUAAUGUCUCGUCUCUUUUCCAUGAAGUAUCACUAACUGCUAUAUACCCUGUCAUUUUGUACCCUACAAUAGUUCAUACGUAAGGGGUACUUGUCUACACCGUCGCACUAUUAUUGGUGGUGUGCUUAGUAACUACAACGUGUAAACACGGCAAGUAACUAGCCACCGGUACAAAUGUUAUAUUCUGGAGAAUUAUACCGUGUGAGAUCUGUUGAUAAAGUGUCUUCUAAUAAGUCGAGACUACUUCUAACAGGAAGUAUGGAACUUUUUCGAAGCUUGCUUUAGGACUUUUUUACACUACCGAACGGAAACCGUUAGUAACGGUAUAGACCAGACAACCGAUUGUACCCUUCUUGUCUCGUAAAUACCUCGGUCCACUUUCUAAGAUAACCAGUACGUGAGCUUUCCUUGGGAUCGCAACUACCUUACUAUUUCUAUAGCAGUGAAUCAAUGAAACUAGACGGGGGAGUGGAUUUUUGAACAGAGGACAUGGAGUCAUAAAAGGGUCUUCUAAGACAACAAUACUCCUCUCUGGAACAUACCUCUACCUAACGGCUUCCUAAACAAGUGUUUCUUCCGUUUAUAAGCCGUAUACUUAAUCCUUUUUCCAUAAAAUUACUCGAGCAGUUAUCCUCAGACUAGGUUGGACAUUUCAAAUCUCCUGGAAACUCAGACCUGUUUAUACUAUUCCACAAACGAACAGCACAAGUACUGUGUUAAGAACUAAAGUAUCAUAGGUUCAGGUAACUUCUCUUGAAACAAUGAAAGUAACCAAGGGGGUCACAUUGAUAACCCUGUGUUUCGUCUCAAGCGGCCGACAGGUAGGUUCAACCUCCCUUUCCUUUAAGAAACCACGGCUGCUCGGACUAUAACAGGGUACGGGCCAGUGAAUUACAAAAACCCUUUUGUCGCCUUUAGGGAACUUAUUUCCUCAAGUUCGUAAACGCACAACACCUGAAGUCUCUUACGUCAGUUAACCUUUUGGUGGUAGAACAUUUACAUCCCUCCGACAGAGUAGAUUCCAUGGAGUUGUAAUCGAGCUACUUCCAAUCGUUCGACGGUCUUGUGUAACCUGUGGAUGUGACGAAUCUCUACAACCUGUAUUGCUUGUGUCGCCACAUGCUAAAUGGUCGUUCAAAACAGUUAGAGUCUUCUAACCGUGUAAAAGCACAACCGGUUACACAAUCCAAAGGACUACCUUAACGCUUCUACGUUCGUAACCUCUGAAACUUUUAACACGUCUGGAGGUACGUCAGUAUAUUAAAAGACGUUCUCGAACCUCUCGAUUUCUUAGACUCCUUCGACAAGGAAAAAUGAUAUGUACUGCAUCUUGUGUUCCUCCAGCAACGAAGAAGAGAGGCAUUUGACACAAACGUCUUGGAAUCAAGAGAUCUAUACACCUUACUAACACUGUUGUAACAUGACUUACGUACCACGUACCUAGGCGGCGAAUCGGAGGUCUUUGAAUUAUAGCAGUUGAGUCAGGAGGGUUUCCAAGGUCUAACCCAUCCUAACGAACAGUUGGACGUCUAGAAUGCGAACCUUCACUACUCUUAGUCCGUACUUCUAGAGACAUAGGAACCUAGGAAUGGACGAGACGAGUGAGACAAAGAAUCUCCUGGCGUUCCAAACAUAGGAACAUUUCUAUCUUUCGACCGUCAGGGAUCACUUCGACCCAAGGCUACGGACUUCUACAAGGCAUUACUUGGUACCGUACUAACCUAUCUAGAGUACAAACUUCGUUCUACAUACGGGUUCGAUCUUUUUGACCUCUAAUUAAACGAACAUAAGAGGUCACGAGUUGAACUCAGGGAAUCGCCAGGACCACGAAAGUUAAAACCCUAGCUUUUGGAGACGUCGGAACAUUGUAAGUUUAUACUUAGUGAAAGAUAGACCUCGCCGAAUUCAUCGUGGUGACAACUACGUCAUUUUCGAAGAGACCUCUCACGUCAGUCGCGUGUAGGGUUGGUGCAAUGAGAUUAGAAGUUAGUACAGUUAGUCCCACUAGGUACUUGAUUCUGGUGUAUCAUGCCAUGAAGAAGGGAUCUAAAUAUCGAAUGAUCAAGUAAAAUAACAUCGUCAUCAUCAUUAGUGAGAAAGUGUUAAAUCAACGGAACAUACCAGUCCGAUUAACAGACACACAGAAAAGUCCAACCCUCGUUUAGAAAACUUGUAAGUCAACUGUACGGCACAUUAAACUGUACGACAUGACAACGAUGCACUCGAUCCGCGAGUCUCAUGACGAUAACGAAGAACUAAAUUCCCGGAACAGGAAAAAAAAGCCUUUCCUCCAAAAUGG